rnacentral:SRP_RNA from 1 species
GGCCAGGAGUGGCAAAGCGUCAGCAGGCCAACCCCGCCAGGUCCGAAAGGAAGCAACGGCAACCUGACUGCCGUUGUUGCUGCUCCUGGUUUUU